GAGUUUGAUCAUGGCUCAGGACAAACGCUGGCGGGGUGCAUGAGACAUGCAAGUCGAACGGGGUUGAGCGGGCUUGCUCGAUCAACCUAGUGGCGGACGGCUGAGUAACGCGUAGGUGACCUACCCGGAAGUGGGGAAUAACUGCCCGAAAGGGUGGCUAAUACCGCAUGUGGUCGGCGAUUCGGUUCGCCGUGCAAAGCCGCAAGGCGCUUCCGGAGGGGCCUGCGUCCGAUUAGCCAGUUGGUGGGGGUAAUGGCUCACCAAGGCGACGAUCGGUAGCUGGUCUGAGAGGAUGAUCAGCCAGACUGGGACUGAGAACGGCCCAGACUCCUACGGGAGGCAGCAGUCGGGAAUUUUGCCCAAUGGACGAAAGUCUGAGGCGGCAACUCCGCGUGAGGGACGAAGGCCUUCGGGUCGUAAACCUCUUUUCUCAGGGAAGAGUACAAGACGGUACCUGAGGAUAAG
rnacentral:rRNA from 1 species